AUAAUCUGGAGGAAGCUGCCCAGUGUGACACCGUUGACCAUUGGUGGAUAUGUUUACGUCAACGAUGUAACCAUUUCUGUGGAGCAUGCGCGGGAGUCAGAGGACUGGAAACUGAUUAUUUCCGGUGCACAUUCCAGACACAGCGGGGAGUACGAGUGUCAAGUGCCCACUGCCGACAAACAGAUGCGGAAGCAGUUCUACCUCACCGUUACAGAAAAAUCCGAUCGCUUUCCACAUCAGUCUCAUUCAAAAGAAGUCAUCUACAUAUCUGACAGACAGCAUGUAAAUACGGACGAACCGUUCGAGAUAUCCUGCAAUGCCACAGGAGAUGACUUCGUUCCUGAUAAUAUUGACUGGUUUAAAAAUGGUCAAAAACUUCAGAGUGAUGUCGGAAAAGGCGUCAGCAUCAAAUUUUCUGUGAGCAUGGAAACCAAGACGAUCAAGAGUACGUUUCGAGUCGCGCACGCGAACAUGACCGAUGCCGGAACCUACACGUGCCGCACGUCCAACAGUCUCGUGGAGUCCACAUCAGUCGUUGUGCUGUAUGCUACAAGCAAGAACAGCAAAAGAGUGAUUUACCCAGAACAAGUACACUCGCCUUCGUCCUGGGCCAACCAUCUUCAUUCGUCGCCCUCUUGUCAUCUGUUUAUAUCAAUCAUAAUUGUUUUGUUACACAUGGUGUGAAAAUGUUCUCUAAUUUAUUUUUUUAAUAUGGCCAGUUUUCUACAAAUACAAACAGGUACAUGUAUAAUGGCGUGUUCUGACGGCGUAUGACUCCCACUACCACAAACUUCCAAUAUAAUAUGUAGCACAUAUACAUGUACUACAUAUGGAUAUCCUAAUGGCGACAACUGGUUAGCAUUCGUCAAAUUUAUGAGAAUUAGUCAACACUCUCAAAAUAUUCGAGAUUCUUGUGAGUUUCUGCUUUAAGAGACUGUUCCUUUUAACGGUUUCUCCAAUUGCUGACUAUCCAUUUCGGACUAUUUACACCAAACAUGGUUGUCCGCCACAUCGGUGUGGAGUUUCAAUGCGCAUGCCUGCCAUCUAUAAGGUAAACUGUGUAGGCGCGAACGUUAUUGUGUCAAAUCGAUUAUCAACUUAAUUGUGAUUUGAAGUUUGCACAUUUUUAUAUUUAAUAAUCUGGUUUUUGUUUAUGGUCAUAUUUUAUUCACGAGUCAUUGAUUUGAUAACAUUUCAUAUGAAUUUUAUGUAUGUAUUCAACCUUUCUAGAUACCUGCCAUUGUAUUAUAGCUAUUAUAAUAUUUCACGUUUUAUUCCCCCUAUUCAUUCCACUUCGACAUAACGUUCAUGUUGUUUUCAUUUUAUUUUCAACUAUAUCAUUGUCUACAAGUUGCAAUUCAAUUCGAAUGUAUUUGGUAAAAAAUGCUAAAUCUUGUACGUGUGGAGAACAGUCAUGUACAGGUAAUAUUUAAUAAAUUCUCAACUUGUUUGUAUUAUUUAAAAAAAAUCGAUGAUUAACAACAUCAACAAAUAUCAUUUAUAACGAGUUUAUGCGUGACAUGGUAUAUUUUCCAUGUGUCGAAUGCCACUGUAAUGGAAUUACAAUUCCAAAACUGUAAACGAAAUCAUGUAGGUCAACAUAUAUAUUGAGACAGUUUAUAGACGUUUUACUGUGAAUUUGAAAAUUAAUUAGAAAAUUUGAUUUGAAGUAAUUUUCAUUGUUUCAAAUAAAACAAUUUUAACAUUUACAGAUUUUUUCUCUGUAUACUGUCCUUACCUCUCUAAUUAAGUCACGUGGAGUUAUACUAGUUUAUUUAAUUCUAUACCAAAGUAUAUGUCACAUGAAUAAAUUGUUUCAAUUGU
rnacentral:misc_RNA from 1 species